CCUACGGGAGGCAGCAGUGGGGAAUAUUGGACAAUGGGGGGAACCCUGAUCCAGCCAUGCCGCGUGUGUGAAGAAGGCCCUCGGGUUGUAAAGCACUUUCAGUGAGGAAGAACGCCUGGUGGUUAAUACCCAUCAGGAAAGACAUCACUCACAGAAGAAGCACCGGCUAACUCCGUGCCAGCAGCCGCGGUAAUACGGAGGGUGCGAGCGUUAAUCGGAAUUACUGGGCGUAAAGCGCGCGUAGGUGGCUUGAUAAGCCGGUUGUGAAAGCCCGGGCUCAACCUGGGAACGGCAUCCGGAACUGUCAAGCUAGAGUGCAGGAGAGGAAGGUAGAAUUCCCGGUGUAGCGGUGAAAUGCGUAGAGAUCGGGAGGAAUACCAGUGGCGAAGGCGGCCUUCUGGACUGACACUGACACUGAGGUGCGAAAGCGUGGGUAGCAAACAGGAUUAGAUACCCGUGUAGUC
rnacentral:rRNA from 1 species